rnacentral:tRNA from 1 species
GAGGGUAUAGCUCAGAGGUAGAGCACAUGCUUUGUGUGCACAAGGUCCUGCGUUCAAUCCCCAGGACCUUCU